AUUGAAGUCUCCCAGAGUAUGACAAUGUUCUAGCAGUCCAAGAGGUGAUUUUAGCUGUGAUUUUCUCCACUAAUGGUUGCCAUUGUAGUAGGGCAAUUUUCUUGGUGCUCAGUGGUACUCCCAGGUACUUGAAAGGCAGUUGGCAUUGUUCAUAUCCAAGAUGGUCAAGGAUGCUUCUGUACAGGUAUUGAUACUCCUCCAAAAUAGACAGAGCUCUUGUUCAAGUUGGCAUUGAGACCUGAGGUUGCAGAGAAUUGGGAGAAGCAGUUGGAUAAUGCCUUGACAGAUUGGAGGUCUCCCUUGGUAAAN
rnacentral:lncRNA from 1 species